rnacentral:lncRNA from 1 species
UCAUGAAUACAUAGGUUUAAACUACAAAAUGCAACAUUUGUAAUUUUUUUUGUUACUAUUACAAUGAUUAUGUUGGUACACAAAAUUUAGUUUAAUGGAAGACUACUUAUCAUAUACUAAAUGUCACAUUUUAAGUGUUUAUUUUAGUGGAUAAUUAGCUCAUAAAUUGAGGUGCUCUGAAGAUUCUCAAAACAGAGUUUUACAGAAAAAAAUGGAAAAGAUCGUUUCUCUCCCCAAUCUCAUGUAGGCCCUCGGACUUUUGGUUACUUUGAAAGUUGUUGACCUACAAAUUAAAGUAUUGCAUGUUGAUGUUUGAAUCAUCUACAGCAACCAUCAUUAUGUUUAAAUUUAACAAAUACUAUUUUUUAAUAAGUGCACAAUCUUUGAGAAUGAUU